UGUGCUCAACAACCGGGAUCACUAGAUUGUGGCUACUACGUCAUGCGUUUUAUGUACGACAUAAUAAUGAAUCAUGGUAAUAGUCAAGAUCUUACUAAGGAUUUUUCAAGAACAUUGCCUUAUUCACCGGAGGAGAUUAAUGAGGUGAAAGAUUUUUGGGCAGAUUACUUCAUGAACAAUGUCGAAUUUUUAGCUUAAUUUGUAAUAUGAACUUGAUCUCUAGCUAGCUACGUACCUUUGUUGUAAUAAUUUUAUGUUUGUUGUAACAUGUUGGUUGAUCGAUCUAUGACGAAUUUAAUUGCCUUUUAUUGGGAACGUUAAUUACGUUGUAAACUUUUGUGACAGGUAUUAAUUAUAAAUGUAUUCCCGGUAUUGGGAAUGAA